AUAGAUGGGAGUCUCCUCCACUCUGUCCAAUAGAUGGGAGUCUCCUCCACUCUGUCCAAUAGAUGAGAGUCUCCUCCACUCUUUCCAAUAGACGGAGUCUCCUCCACUCUGUCCAAUAGAUGGGAUCUCCUCCACUCUGUCCAAAAGAUGGGAGUCUCCUCCACUCUGUCCAACAGAUGGAGUCUCCUCCACUCUGUCCAAUAGACGGAGUCUCCUCCACUCUGUCCAAUACAUGGGAGUCUCCUCCACUCUGUCCAAUAGAUGGGAGUCUCCUCCACUCUGUCCAAUAGAUGGGAGUCUCCUCCACUCUGUCCAAUAGACGGAGUCUCCUCCACUCUGUCAAAUAGACGGAGUCUCCUCCACUCUGUCCAAUAGACGGAGUCUCCUCCACUCUGUCCAAUAGACGGAGUCUCCUCCACUCUGUCCAAUAGACGGAGUCUCCUCCACUUUGUCCAAUAGACGGAGUCUCCUCCACUCUGUACAAUAGACGGAGUCUCCUCUACUCUGUCCAAUAGAUGGGAGUCUCCUCCACUCUGUCCAAUAGACGGAGUCUCCUCUACUCUGUCCAAUAGAUGGGAGUCUCCUCCACUCUGUCCAAUAGAUGGGAGUCUCCUCCACUCUGUCCAAAAGAUGGGAGUCUCCUCCACUCUGUACAAUAGAUGGGAGUCUCCUCCACUCUGUCCAAUAGAUGGG
ensembl:lncRNA